rnacentral:rRNA from 1 species
UCGGAUUAGCUGGUUGGUGAGGUAACGGCUCACCAAGGCGACGAUCCGUAGCUGGUCUGAGAGGAUGAUCAGCCACACUGGGACUGAGACACGGCCCAGACUCCUACGGGAGGCAGCAGUGGGGAAUAUUGGACAAUGGGCGAAAGCCUGAUCCAGCCAUGCCGCGUGUGUGAAGAAGGCUUUCGGGUUGUAAAGCACUUUCAGUGGGGAAGAAGGCCUGGCGGUUAAUACCCGCCAGGGACGACAUCACCCACAGAAGAAGCACCGGCUAACUCCGUGCCAGCAGCCGCGGUAAUACGGAGGGUGCGAGCGUUAAUCGGAAUUACUGGGCGUAAAGCGCGCGUAGGCGGCUUGAUAAGCCGGGUGUGAAAGCCCUGGGCUCAACCUGGGAACGGCAUCCGGAACUGUCAAGCUAGAGUGCAGGAGAGGAAGGUAGAAUUCCCGGUGUAGCGGUGAAAUGCGUAGAGAUCGGGAGGAAUACCAGUGGCGAAGGCGGCCUUCUGGACUGACACUGACGCUGAGGUGCGAAAGCGUGGGUAGCAAACAGGAUUAGAUACCCUGGUAGUCCACGCCGUAAACGAUGUCGACUAGCCGUUGGGCUCCUCGCGAGCUUAGUGGCGCAGUUAACGCGAUAAGUCGACCGCCUGGGGAGUACGGCCGCAAGGUUAAAACUCAAAUGAAUUGACGGGGGCCCGCACAAGCGGUGGAGCAUGUGGUUUAAUUCGAUGCAACGCGAAGAACCUUACCUACCCUUGACAUCCUCGGAAUCCGCCGGAGACGGCGGAGUGCCUUCGGGAGCCGAGUGACAGGUGCUGCAUGGCUGUCGUCAGCUCGUGUUGUGAAAUGUUGGGUUAAGUCCCGUAACGAGCGCAACCCUUGUCCCUAUUUGCCAGCGAUUCGGUCGGGAACUCUAGGGAGACUGCCGGUGACAAACCGGAAGAAGGUGGGGACGACGUCAAGUCAUCAUGGCCCUUACGGGUAGGGCU